rnacentral:rRNA from 1 species
UACCAGCACCCCGAGUGGUCGGGACGAUUAUUGGGCCUAAAGCAUCCGUAGCCGGUUCUACAAGUCUUCCGUUAAAUCCACCUGCUUAACAGAUGGGCUGCGGAAGAUACUAUAGAGCUAGGAGGCGGGAGAGGCAAGCGGUACUCGAUGGGUAGGGGUAAAAUCCGUUGAUCCAUUGAAGACCACCAGUGGCGAAGGCGGCUUGCCAGAACGCGCUCGACGGUGAGGGAUGAAAGCUGGGGGAGCAAACCGG